CGGGUGAGUAACGCGUGGGUAACCUGCCUUGUACAGGGGGAUAACAGUUGGAAACGGCUGCUAAUACCGCAUAAGCGCACGGCAUCGCAUGAUGCAGUGUGAAAAACUCCGGUGGUAUGAGAUGGACCCGCGUCUGAUUAGGUAGUUGGUGAGGUAACGGCCCACCAAGCCGACGAUCAGUAGCCGACCUGAGAGGGUGACCGGCCACAUUGGGACUGAGACACGGCCCAG
rnacentral:rRNA from 1 species